rnacentral:lncRNA from 1 species
AACUCAGUGCCUGGGAGGAGUUUGAAGUCUGCAGCAAUUGUGGCUGGGUACAGACGUGUCAUUGUGUGACAGUAAGGUACAGUGAGGGUGUAUGUUUGCCUGGCCCCAUGGCUUCUGCCCACAUGAAAAUACUUGUUAGUCUUUUUAUUAGUUGUUUAAAAAAAAAAAAAGGAAAAAUUCAAGUGCUUGAAAGCAGAAGUAUUAAGUAAUGCUUUGCAGAAUUUCCAAUAAUCCCAUAGCUCUUGAGAGCUUUUAUAGGGGAUAAGAGGGGAAAUGUUUGACAGGUUUUUUGAAGUUCUGGUAUUAGAGAUUGUUAUGGGAAACCUUCGUCUGUGAAGGAAUUCAGAAGAAAAAGUAAAAAAAAAAAAAAAAAAAAAAAAAAAAAAAAAAGUAGGCUGAAAAUAAGCUGCCUACUUAAGAUCUUUUUUCUUUUUUUUUUUUUUUUAAGAGCCAAAUGAGAAACAGGUGAAAGAGUGAAAGGAUAAGCCAAAGGCAGAAAGUGCAGUUUCUGUCUUAGGUGUUGAUGCUUUGCCAUACCCUGACUGCUGGAGAAAGGCCAGCCCAGCUGGUGCUCUGGCCAGGUGCCACAAGACCCUCUGAUCACGGGCUUUCCCAGCCAGAGUGAAGGGAAAAUCUGGGUCAGCUAGGCAAAGUUUGAAAGAGGGAAAUUUGCGGGUGUGUGGGGAAGGAUGAAACAAACAAACAAAACACAAACCCCAGAACAGCAAGGAAUGAAGCAAGGAAGAAAACUUUCCCUGAAAGGAAGAGGUGGGAACCAAAGCAGAGGAGAGACUGCAUCUGCACCAAGGCUCCAAAACAUAGACCUGUCUGACCCAGUUUGAAACUAGCAUGGGCUCCUUCAGUUUGGAGGUUAUCCAGAAAACAUCAAAGAAUAACACACACCCUGUGAAACAGCCACAAGAAUGGAUGAUGUGGUUCAUUGGGUAUGAUGCACCCAAGGACCUCACUCCUGUGAUGGAUGCCAUUCCUGCCUCAGAAAACUAUGUGAUCAGUUUGUCAAGGCAACUGUGGUCAUACUAUAACCACUUCAGACAGAAGAUUCAGGAUCUGAAAGAUAAGUUUCUGCAAGUUUCAUGAAAACUAGUGACUUUGCUGAAGCAAGAGGUUGUGACUUGUCCUCAGUGCAAAAAUUGCCAGGUAAGAGGAUAUAUUCUGUUUGGCCUGCCACUUGAAUGUUGAACAUGAACCUGUUUGCUAGUUGGCAUAUGUACAUAGCUUUAAAAUACCUACAGCCAAUGCUACAUCAUGCCAGCUUGCAGCCAGGGAAAGGAAGCAUGGGAUAUGAAGGGAAGGUGGAGAGGGACUAGGAAGAAGCAUGGGGUACAUUGGAGCUAUUACUGUCAUGGCUGAGGAAUGGGUGGACUUAACAGGUCCAUUGGAUAUGAAGGGAAAUUAACAGCAUUGACUCUGAUAAAUGGGAUUUUUGCUGUCAGUAGUGUGUAAAUCCACAGGAAAGGUGGCACCAUUUAUUCUACUUGUCUUGGAACAACCUGUUUGUUACCAUUAAAAGAUUGGACCUUUUUGUUUCAUAACUGAGCAGAACGCUUCUGGGCAUCUGAGCUGGCCUAGCUGUUACAAGCUGCCUUAGCCUGCCUCUAAAUUUGCAGUCUGGUGGAUUCUUCUUUAUCCAGCCUAAUUCCAGUUUCAGUUUCUCUGCUGAGUUUGCCUAGAAAGUCUACUGUUUUCCUGCCAGGUCUGAAGGUAAGAAUAAGCUUGCCACAGGGAAAUUUUUGUUUGAAAUAGAAACACAAGAAAUUUUUACCAAGAUGGGGCAUGGUAAAUAGACAGGAC